UGAAGCACUUCUUCAGAACCUGGCCUGUACGUACUGCAUCUCCCAUGCUGCACCGCAGCUCCACUGACGAGUCGUUACCCACCAGAGCAUGGAACUCUGGGACACCUGAUGGAUGCGCACACACAAAUGCACGAGUUCCUAACCGAAAUCAAUCCAUGAUCACCCUAUGGGACUUAGGGACUCACAUUUAAGGAAUCCCAGGAUCUCCUCCACUGGUCUGAAGCCACAGAGGCCCUGGAAGUGGGUGAGCGCAAUGGCCAUCUCUGGCUUGUGGUUGUUGUCUGGAUAGUGUUCCGGAAACUGAGCAUGGAGACGAGCGGCUAACUCCUGAGCAAACGAUGAUGACAGAAAGGUCAAUGGUCACAACCUCAAACAAACUGUGCUAAAUAAUGUGGCAUACAGUAUGCUCAAAAUAUUACUGUGCCUGCAGUUCAUCGUAAAACAAUUCAAACCUUGUUUCUAAGGAUACAUGUAGAUUUCUGCACAUCACUAUCUUGGUAACUGUUGGAUGGCAGUGCUUAAAUUUGUCUUCAAUUAUUUUGAAUGCCCUUAAUUCCAAAUAUACAUUUCAGGACACAGCAUUAUAAAAAUGUGAUAGUUUAAAAUGUGUUUAACGACUUAGGAUUUUAGACGAGGAAUUUAGGAUUUUAUCGAAUUUAAUACUGAAUCGUAAUAUACGUUUUAAAUUGCAGAGUAAAUGUGAUAAUUUAAUGCACCCCAAUAUAUAGUCCUCUUUUCGUAGUAAAGGCAACAGGUCUUUAAAUAUUAGCAUUGCGUUUUUAUAAAGUUGUCAAAGUUGUGUUUUGCUCGCAUCAACUAAUGUACCCUUGGGUUGUUGCUCCCUCUGGAGCCACAACUUGUAUUUAUACAUAUGCAUUAGUACCCCGCCCAGACCUGUAAAUAGACUAAAGUGUAAAAUUGUGAGUAAGAAUGUCUACAGUUGGUGUGAACUCAUAACAUAUUGUGUGUGGUAAAGAAUAACAUGGUAUAUUUAAUUAUUCAUGGAAUACUGCUGAUUCAAACAUAGAAACUACUAAAAAAAUGUUAUCUGCUGAACAGUGUCCCGGUAUUUGAACAUUGUGUAGGUGUGUGUUUGUGAACUCACUCUGUUGGGGUGGGCCUGUAUGGACAGAGCUGUGUUGACAGAGAGCACUUUGAAGAGGAAGGGCAGCUGACCCUGGAAGGUGUCCUUAACCUUGGAGCCCAGACAGGCAGGGAAGUGGGCGAUCCACUGGCCCAGUGUGGUCUGCGCAAUCCUGUUGUCUUUAAUCUGGGCAUCGCCUUUUGGGUGGGCGCCCAUCCAGAGCUGAAACAGGAAGCAUUACUCUGGUGUUAGUAUAUUAGUUAGUGUCCUGGGUCAGUCCUGAACUUCUUUUUUCCAGGGACUCAGUAGGACUCAGAAGACAUGCACCCUGCAUGUCUAGGAGCCAAACUUAAUAUUUAGCCGAUGUUGGUUAAUUGUUUAUUUAGGCAGCAGAUAUUACCUUUAUCAUAACGUCUGGGUAAGAGGGACAGGGGGUGUGGUUUCUCUUUUCUUUUUCACAAGUUUAAUUAGUUUGGCCGGUUACAUACAAAAAGCACACAGUAGGACUCUGAUAUUUUUCUGUUGAUCGUCAUGUUUGCUAUAAGUUUAAGUGUCAAUAAAAGCUACAGAAUGCA